rnacentral:lncRNA from 1 species
AUUUGUCUCUAAAUAUACUACUCUCCCAGAAGAUUUCCAGGAAGUCAUCUUGACCCUAAUUUUGUACCCUAAAGCUAAAUAAUUAACUAAAUAGAAAAAAAAAUACUUCACUAAACUUAAAAUAAAUUUUGAAAGUGUUUAAUAUACACGAAACUAAACACAUAUAUGUCAAAUUAUAAUUUUCCAAAAAAAUGUUAAGCUUCCAAAAUCUAACCCUAAAAAUACAAACAAUACUA